UCCAGUAUGUCACCGGCGGUCUCCUUAGAGUUCCCAACUUAAUGAUGGCAACUAAUGACAAGGGUUGCGCUCGUUGCGGGACUUAACCCAACAUCUCACGACACGAGCUGACGACAGCCAUGCAGCACCUGUGUUCCGAUUCCCUUUCGGGCACAGCUGGAUUUCUCCAGCCUCUCGGACAUGUCAAGGGUAGGUAAGGUUUUUCGCGUUGCAUCGAAUUAAUCCACAUAAUCCACCGCUUGUGCGGGUCCCCGUCAAUUCCUUUGAGUUUUAGCCUUGCGGCCGUACUCCCCAGGCGGGGUGCUUAAUGCGUUAGCUGCGGCACGGAAGGAGUCGACACCUCCCACACCUAGCACCCAUCGUUUACGGCGUGGACUAC
rnacentral:misc_RNA from 1 species